rnacentral:rRNA from 1 species
CUUGGUGAUGAUGGCGGAGGGGACACACCCGUACCCAUCCCGAACACGACGGUUAAGCCCUCCAGCGCCGAUG